rnacentral:lncRNA from 12 species
AAAUCGGGGUGUUGGAGAGGAAAGGUAAAAUGUGAAGUCCAUAGAAUCCUUGAAGGUGGCAGUUGUUGACACAAGGAUAAACAAUGCCUUUCAAAAAAGUUGCUUGUAGAGUCAAAAUGUGAUCAUCAUACAAUAUAAAGCCCACAAAGGUUUACAAUUGAUGCUAUCUACUGAAUCCCAUUUCUUCCGAAUGGAGCCUCCUAGCUUAUCCUAG